CUACUGCCCAUCGAACUGACCACCGUCGCCCUCCCUACCUCCCUCCCUCCGCCCCUCUUCUGCGUGCGCCAGGCCAGCCCGCGCCUCAAGCCGCCGCAUCCCAGCCCGGAUCUGCAGAGCUGCCCGAACCCCCUGCAAGACCACCCUACCUACUUCUGAUGUCAAGCAGUACUUCGUGAACCCGGACGACACGGUGGCGAAGAAGAUCGUGGCGCACAAGAGCAGCGCGCAGGGGACGCACUUCCAGUGCGCCUGCCCGCGGCGGCGCGUCUAUUUCCAGCCGGGCGAGGUGAUAGCAGCGGGCUCUGCCGGGCCUCAACACGGUCAUCCGCGAGCUCGUCUGCAGCCUCCAUGACAUGUACGGCGUCACCAGCGUGCUGGGCAUCGAGGGCAGGCAGGACACGAGCAAGACCGUGGACAGCAUCCAGGACCGUCGCGCGGCGCCCACGUCCGCCCCUACCGCUACCGCAGCCACAGAGGCUGGCGCGUGCGCGAGCUGGAGCUGGCCGCGCACCCACAGGCCCCACCCCUCUCGCCGCGCGCCGCCACUGGCGCCCGCGGUCGCCUUCGGAUCCGGACCCUCCAUGAGUGGCGUGAGCGCCUCCCCCGCCCCUCCGACCACGCGCAGCGCUGCCACCACCUCGGCCGCGUUGGACGCAGACCGCCGCCGCGGCAAGGCCAGGUCGCGGUCGGAGCAGGGCCAGCUGCACGGCCGGGCCAGGCCACGGGCAGAGAGCAGGCCAGGGCGGUCAGGCAGCCGCGCGAGGCCAGGCCAGGGGCAGGUAGCUCCCAGUAUAAAUUAGAAAGUAUAAAUUAGAAGGGUAGGUACAUCUUUAUCCACCUCCGUUAGGUUCUGUUAGAGUCGUUCUGUCAAAAAUGGUACAUAGGUAAAAGAACAUUCUCGCGAUGAUAAACACGUGUCUCUAAAUUUUUUAGUAGUAUGCACAUAAUCAACAACUUUCAUAAUGAUAUAUACGUAAAAGACUCCACUCAAAACCUCCGUCGUGCUCAAUGACCAAAUAACAAUUGUAGACCUGUGAAGUCACUAGUCAUCAAUUUAGAAAAUAUCAUUGCUGUCGUCAUCCUCAAUUUAGAAAAUAUCAUGGACAGCAGUAUCAGCAUCCUUCAGCGGCCGCGGCUGUAACAAGCAGCAACUGACUGACAGGCAUGGAUAAAGGAAUUUCCAGCACUAAUGGUUGUUUUUCCAUUUUAGAUGAAAUCUCACCAUGCCAAUGUUCGGACUUAAUUCUGAAUAAAGAGAACCUUGCACCGUGCGGAUUACAAGUAAAUCUGCAUCAGCUGGAUAGUCUACUUGUGGGCUGGUUCAAAUUCUGAAUAAAAGUUUAUGCAUGGACUAAUUCUCUAAGCUAAGCAUAGGUCACGGCCAAAAUUUUCUGCAUAUUACUUAAUCCAAACUGAACCAAAAUUAGCUCCAAAACAGGGAAUUAAUUUUUAAAUCUAAUCCUAAGUUACCACCACUGCAUUUAUUUAUUAUUUGAACUAUUAUUUGUUUGUGGCAUUCACGUAAGGCUGAAAUGCAUUUAUUUUAUUUAUGCUACAAUGUGUAUCUAUAGACAAGUGCAACUAUUAUUUAUUUGUGAGCAUCAAUUUCAGUCAUGGGCAUAGAACAUCCAUCCAAAUUCAGUGGCACAAGCGUAAACAAAGUUUUGCAUGCUGCUCAA